GUAUAAAGUUUGCUGUCUCCUUUGUUCGCCCUCGUUGCGCAGUAUUGCUAGCGGCUUCCCUCUUCCGUUCUCGGGUCCGGCGGCACUCCCUCGUGCUGAGCUGCUACGAAGCCCCUGCCGGCGAGCUCGUAGGAGCUUGGAACCGUUGUCACCCCUCCGACUCUCACCAGGGGGAAAAAAUGGUUGAAGCAGAUCGCCCAGGAAAGCUUUUCAUUGGUGGCCUCAAUACAGAAACAAAUGAAAAAGCCCUUGAAGCAGUAUUUGGCAAAUAUGGACGAAUAGUGGAAGUUCUGUUGAUGAAAGAUCGUGAAACCAACAAAUCAAGAGGAUUUGCUUUUGUCACCUUUGAGAGCCCAGCAGAUGCUAAGGAUGCAGCCAGAGACAUGAAUGGAAAGUCCUUAGAUGGAAAAGCCAUCAAAGUAGAACAGGCCACUAAACCAUCAUUUGAAAGUGGUAGACGUGGACCACCGCCACCUCCAAGAAGCAGAGGCCCUCCAAGAGGUCUUAGAGGCGGAAGAGGAGGAAGUGGAGGAACCAGGGGACCUCCCUCACGUGGAGGGCACAUGGAUGAUGGUGGCUAUUCCAUGAAUUUUAACAUGAGUUCUUCCAGGGGACCACUUCCAGUAAAAAGAGGACCACCACCACGAAGUGGUGGUCCUCCUCCUAAAAGAUCAGCCCCUUCAGGACCAGUUCGCAGCAGCAGUGGAAUGGGAGGAAGAGCUCCUGUGUCACGCGGAAGAGAUAGUUAUGGAGGCCCGCCUCGAAGGGAACCCCUACCCUCCCGUAGAGAUGUUUAUUUGUCCCCGAGAGAUGAUGGAUACUCCACUAAAGACAGCUAUUCAAGCAGAGAUUACCCAAGUUCUCGUGAUACAAGAGAUUAUGCACCACCGCCGAGAGAUUAUACUUACCGUGAUUAUGGUCAUUCCAGUUCACGUGAUGACUACCCGUCAAGAGGCUAUAGUGAUAGAGAUGGCUAUGGUCGUGAUCGUGACUAUUCAGAUCAUCCAAGUGGAGGCUCCUACAGAGAUUCAUAUGAGAGUUAUGGUUGAGGAUUUUGGUCAUUAUGCUUGGAGUGCUGAUUAAUUCACACUAGAUAAAGCUGGCCGCAAGAGAAAUCAAAUGCUAAGAGUUGUUGAAGCAGAAGAAUGCUGAUUGUCGAUAAGGCACAACAGUUGCAUAAGCAGUACUCAUCAGAAUUGGUUUGGUGCAGGCAGUAGAUCUUUGCCUUCGAGGGUUCCUGUGGAUCUAAGGAAGGAAGGAAGGAAGGCAUCAGUGUUGGUUAGCACUUAACUAGGGAGUGGUAGUUACUUUAAAAAAGUAAUUGGCCAGAUAAAGGGGAGCAGCUAAGGAAAUUGGUAAGUGGAGGUAGUAAAUUCUUGUGAUUCUUUAUGUGGAUUUUACAGCUUUGGUUUUCAUUUUGCUAAAGUCCUGGGGACAACUCUGCAAUUUAGAACUUCUAAUUAUUGCUGUCAGAAAGCUGAAGUAGAAAAAUGAAAGGCAUGAGUGGUAACUCUUUAUCCAGUAAACUGAUUUUUCAGCAAGUGGGGACAUUUGAUUUGGUGUAGUUCAUCCAGAAGUGGAGUUCAGUCAUAAAACGAAGGAGUAGCAUCUGGAAACUAAAGUAACUGGAAAUGUAGCUGAAACCAUUGAAAGCACACUUGAAAAACUGGAAACAAAUUGGGCCACUUGGCUUUUUUUAAGUGUACUAUUUGUAAGUCUGCUUUACCCCACCAUCUGUCUUGGAAACAAACCAGUCAUGUUGGAGAUUAAAGCCGAUAGUAUGUAAAGCUAAUGUUCUUAAAGGGACUGGAUUGCAGUUGUUGGGUUAGAAGAACUAAGUACAAAAACUUGAGAUUUUUUUCUUUGCAUAGUAAAAGCAGUGCUGUCAUGUUUAGUCUUCGCAGUUGUGAGAAAUAGUCCAAAAAUUGUAACCCUCAUUGGACAGGCUCUUCCAAUCCUAGACCGCGAUGAGGGAUUGACCAAUUUUAAGUAGCUGUUGCACUUAACAUAGCUGUCUUUUCAGUCCUGUAAUGUAAACUACCUGGGAUUAUGUUUCUUAUGACUUCUUGGCUCUGGAGAUUUUAUUUAGGUAAAUUGAAAAUAGGGUAGAACAUAGAAAUUAAUCAUAGUAAAUGUGAAUACUAAAUUCAAAUUAAGCAUACCUAAAUCACCAUUCAGCUGUUUGGCAAAUAGUUUACUGACCCAGCAGACUUUUUCCCCCAUUGGAAAAAGAAUCCGUCUUGAUUCUCCCGGCUUUAUACUGGUUGUAAAAUGAUAAAGAAUGUUUUGUUUAACAGUAGUUGAAUAUAGAACUUAGAUAUUAUAGAUCACUUUUCUCUUUUUGGAAUGUUUUGUAUUUGAAACUUAAUAAAACUUAACAUGCA